CGAUACGGGACUCAUCCGAGGCCCCGUAAUCGGAAUGAGUACACUUUAAAUCCUUUAACGAGGAUCNAUUGGAGGGCAAGUCUGGUGCCAGCAGCCGCGGUAAUUCCAGCUCCAAUAGCGUAUAUUAAAGUUGUUGCGGUUAAAAAGCUCGUAGUUGAAUCUGUGUGCCACAAUGUCGGUCCGCCGCUCGCGGUGGUUACUUGCAUCACGUGGGACGUCCUACCGGUGGCUUACGAACCCUUCCCGGGUUCGAGCCAACUAAUAUCCCAUCGCGGUGCUCUUCAUUGAGUGUCGAGGUGGGCCGGUACGUUUACUUUGAACAAAUUAGAGUGCUUAAAGCAGGCUACUUUCGCCUGAAUACUGUGUGCAUGGAAUAAUGGAAUAGGACCUCGGUUCUAUUUUGUUGGUUUUCGGAACCCCGAGGUAAUGAUUAAUAGGGACAGAUGGGGGCAUUCGUAUUGCGACGUUAGAGGUGAAAUUCUUGGAUCGUCGCAAGACGGACAGAAGCGAAAGCAUUUGCCAAAAAUGUUUUCAUUAAUCAAGAACGAAAGUUAGAGGUUCGAAGGCGAUCAGAUACCGCCCUAGUUCUAACCAUAAACGAUGCCAGCUAGCGAUCCGCCGAAGUUCCUCCGAUGACUCGGCGGGCAGCUUCCGGGAAACCAAAGCUUUUGGGUUCCGGGGGANGUAUGGUUGCAAAGCUGAAACUUAAAGGAAU
rnacentral:rRNA from 1 species